GCCAGCAGCUAGCUCUCUGCAACUCUCACAUGGUCACCCACUGAAGAUAAGCAGGGCUGCGCCCGGUCAGUACCUGGAUGGGAGACCACAUGGGAAAGCUAGGUUGCUGCCGGAA
rnacentral:rRNA from 1 species